UGGGCUAUCGCCAAGUGGCAAGGCACAGCACUUUGACUGCUGUAUUCGCGGGUUCGAAUCCCGCUAGCCUAG
rnacentral:tRNA from 1 species